rnacentral:tRNA from 1 species
GCGCCAGUAACUCAGCAGGAUAGAGUAACGCCCUUCUAAGGCGUGAGUCGGGGGUUCGAAUCCCUCCUGGCGUG